ensembl:lncRNA
CGUCGUUGCAGCUAACCCUAACCCUAACCCAGCUAAGACUGCUGGCUUUAAGACCUGUCUGCGCCCUCCCUGUUCGGGCCUGCUGUGUAAUUUGCCGGUGGAUGAAUCCUGAACGCGGAGCGAAUGUAAAUGAGGGGGAGUUUCCUUCUGCUCUGCACCGGCCUCGUUCCAGAGAUCUCAUCAGAUGUAGAGGAGUACGUCCAGCAUGGAGGUGAGGAGGCUGCAGAGGCAUGACAGCGGUCAGGUCAGUGCCGUGACUCAUCCAGGAAGUGAACCGGAUUCGACCGCCUGGCCUCCAGACAGGAUAUUAGUCCGCUUAGUCACGGCUUCACUCACCGAUACAGCAGCUGCAGGACUUUAGAUUGCAGUGAAAAAUGAACCACAGUGAAGAAAAACACACCCAGAGACUGAAUUAAAGCACUCGAACAUUCAUUGAGUGACAAAUAUCUCUGAAGAAAUGAAAUAUUAAAGCAUCUCAGAGUAAACCAUAAUAUUCUGUAAACAUGCCACAACAUGAAAUAAUCCUGAAAAUCUAAAUACAUUGGAAAAAAAAUGUCUCGAUUGGAUGUCUGGAGAGGCUGGAACUCCUCCAGCGCAGCCGCCUGACAGUUGUGGAAAUGAACUCAUUUAAAAUGAAAACUGAAAUUGAGAGUGAGAAGCAGAAAAGUGGGGAGGAAGAGGC